rnacentral:misc_RNA from 1 species
UGCUGCUGAAGUUCAAGGUUAAUAUCCGUAGUGUUCAACCAUUUGCGCUCCACGCUAUCAGUGUCUCAGCGACAUUGAUAGUGUGCAAAUUAUUGUUCAAUUUUCUUCCAAUUUAUAAACCUAAAUAUAUUUUUCGAACAUAAUAAUUUCUGUUUAAAAAAUAAAUAGCUUCGAGUGAAAAAAUCUCGAUCAAUUCGUCAAUUCGCCAUUUUAGCCACCAGUACGCCGUAUCUGUUUGCUGAGUAUUCUGCUGAUGAAGUUCAAGGUCCGAUGUGCCAUAUAUGUUUGGUGAAAUUGAAGCCCCACCACGCACGUGUUCCGCAACCACUUGUGGCCAAGAUCACGCAGGCCUUUUCCAUGAAACUGUUGGAUUGAAGAACCGACGAUAUAUUGUAGGGCCUGUCGGCACUUCGGCUUUCUCGCGACACUGUUUAUAGUUCGCCCAAUAUCUCUUAGACCUUUCGUCCACGAUAAUAUUUACAAUACUAACUUACGUGAAAUAAGUAUCUUUGAUUCGGAAAAUCUGAAUCAGUUCAUCGGUGUUUUUGUUUCAAUUUUGUAUGUUGUACACGUUUUGUAAAUAAUUUGCUGAACAUGUUCAAGGUUAAUACGC